rnacentral:rRNA from 1 species
GCGCACCAGGCGCGAAAGCGUGAUGAGGGAAUCCCAAGUGCUUGCACGUAAGUGUAAGCUGUUUUCUGUUUAAAAGCAGAGAGAGUAAGGGCUGGGUAAGACGGGUGCCAGCCGCCGCGGUAAUACCUGCAGCUCAAGUGGUGGCCGCUAUUAUUGGGCCUAAAACGUUCGUAGCCUGUUUAGUAAAUGCCUGGGUAAAUCGUGUAGCUUAACUAUACGAAUUCCGGGUAGACUGCUAAACUUGAGACUGGGAGAGGCUAGAGGUACUCCUGGGGUAGAGGUGAAAUUCUGUAAUCCUAGGGGGACCACCAGUGGCGAAGGCGUCUAGCUAGAACGGGUCUGACGGUGAGGGACGAAGCCCUGGGGCGCAAACCGGAUUAGAUACCCCCGUAGU